rnacentral:pre_miRNA from 1 species
GCAGGGAAGAGGAAGAAAGAGAGCUCCUAAGAGCGGUAGGAAUGGGAACAUGAAGGAAUGCGUAUGCUCUAGUAUCUCUAGCAUUGGAGGCGGAUACUUGCAUCGAUGUGUUCCUGAUGCCUCCCAUUCCUAUGGUUCUUAGGCCCUCCUUCCUCUUCCUUUUGCUA